rnacentral:lncRNA from 1 species
AAACAACAAAAGAACAAAGCAAUGAAAGCACAGAUUUACUGAAGCAAACAUACACUCUACAGACAGGGAGCAGACUCGAGCAAGCGGCUCAAGAGCCCCGAUUGCAAUGCUCUUUGAAGUUUUUACUAAGCUAAAAGAAUUUGGUAACACCUAUAUGUACCCUUUAGAGGCCUCCAAUUGGUUACAACCUAUGCGAAUGAAGCAUUGGCCCAUGACUCAUCAGAGGCUGAAGUGGAGGCUUGGCCCACAACCAAUCAGAGGCUGAAAUGGAGCCUGGUCCUGCAACCAAUCAAAGGCUGAAAUGAAGGCUUGGCCCCAGACCAAUCAGAGAAAAAAUACAUAUAUGUGUAUAUACAUACAUAUAUAUAUACACACAUAUAUUUAUAUAUUUCAAUUGGAAGGAAGAAGGAGAAGAAAAGAAGGAAAAGAAAGAACUUUGCAACAUACUGGGUUUAUUAUUCUGCUGCCUGUAUUUGGCAUGUUUUGCAGUGCAUGAGCUAACUUUCCAGAUAGGACAAAACUCUGUAUUUUUCAUUAAAGGGAAGAAUUUUGAUUACUCAAAA